UCUACGGGAGGCAGCAGUGAGGAAUAUUGGUCAAUGGGCGCGAGCCUGAACCAGCCAAGCAGCGUGAAGGAUGACUGCCCUACGGGUUGUAAACUUCUUUUAUAAAGGAAUAAAGUGAGGCACGUGUGCCUUUUUGUAUGUACUUUAUGCAUAAGGAUCGGCUAACUCCGUGCCAGCAGCCGCGGUAAUACGGAGGAUCCGAGCGUUAUCCGGAUUUAUUGGGUUUAAAGGGAGCGUAGAUGGGUUGUUAAGUCAGUUGUGAAAGUUUGUGGCUCAACCGAAGAAUUGCAAUUGAUACUGGCAGCCUUGAGUACAGUUGAGGUAGGCGGAAUUCGUGGUGUAGCGGUGAAAUGCUUAGAUAUCACGAAGAACUCCGAUUGCGAAGGCAGCCUACUAGACUGCCACUGACGUUGAGGCUCGAAAGUGUGGGUAUCAAACAGGAUUAGAUACCCGAGUAGUC
rnacentral:rRNA from 1 species